rnacentral:rRNA from 1 species
AUUGAACGCUGGCGGUAUGCUUAACACAUGCAAGUCGAACGGCAGCACAGACUGUAGCAAUACAGUUGGGUGGCGAGUGGCGGACGGGUGAGUAACGCGUGGGAAUCUGUCUUAAAGUGGGGGAUAACUCGAGGAAACUCGAGCUAAUACCGCAUAUCUAGCUUGCUAGAAAGGGGGCCUCUGUUUACAUGCUCUCGCUUUAAGGUGAGCCUGCGUCUGAUUAGCUAGUUGGUAGGGUAAAGGCCUACCAAGGCAAUGGUCAGUAGCUGUUCUGAGAGGAAGACCAGCCACGCUGGGACUGAGACACGGCCCAGACUCCUACGGGAGGCAGCAGUGGGGAAUAUUGGACAAUGGGGGAAACCCUGAUCCAGCAAUACCGCGUGUGUGAAGAAGGCCUGCGGGUUGUAAAGCACUUUUGUCGGGGAGGAAAAGUUAAAAGCUAAUACCUUUUAACCAUGACGCUACCCGAAGAAAAAGCACCGGCUAACUCUGUGCCAGCCGCCGCGGUAA